rnacentral:rRNA from 1 species
CUAACGGCUGAACCAGCAACUUGCCAGAGGGGUUGUUGUUAAUUUACAGUUAUAGAUGAUGACAACAAGUGGUUUUCUACAUAAACCUCUAGAGAAAAAAGAUAAUGACAAUUUUUUUUCUAAAUGUCUUGACUAACUCACGUGCCAGCAGUCGCGGUAAGACGUGGAAGACUAGUGUUAGUCAUCUUUAUUGGGUUUAAAGGGUACCUAGACGGUCAAUCACGCCUCUCCCAGAACAGAGGGGAACGAAUUGUGCUAGAGUUUUAUGGGAAAGGAGAUAUUGUAUUAAUGGAGGAGAGAUAAAAUUCACUGAUACCAUUAGGAACGGAUAACGGCGAAGGCAAUCCUUUAUGUAAAAACUGACGUUGAGGGACGAAGGCUUGGGUAACCAACAGGAUUAGAUACCCCAGCAGUCCGAGCAGAAAAUGAUGAGUGCCAUAGAUUAGGUUAACUUUGAUCUAUAAAUGAAAGUGUAAGCAUUCCACCUCAAGAGUAGUGCGGCAACGCAGGAACUGAAAUCAUUAGACCGUCUCUGAGAUCAGUAGUGAAGCAUGUUGUUUAAUUUGAUAGUCCGCAAAAAACCUUACCACAGCUUGAAUAUUUAGUGUAAUACUUAGUGUAAUACUGAGCGUAAUGCUUAGUACAACACUGAGUAGUAUUAAGUACAGGUGCUGCAUGGCUGUCUUCAGUUAAUGUUGUGAGACUUAGGUUAGUUCCGUUAAAUUAACGAAAACCCUUGCUAUAUUUACUUUUAUAUAGCAGCACUCCGACAUAAUG